GCGGGUUUGCGCGACUGGCGAUAGGGCCGCACGGCCCGAGGUGGACGACCACCGUGGAGCGCACACCGGCCCGAUGAAAUUCGGCCGAUUCAGCCGUUCGCCUGGGCAGCCCGA
rnacentral:ncRNA from 2 species